CUCUUCCCCAAAAACACCAUUUGGUCCAAAAAAAAUAAAAAAACUCAACAACUUCGGGCAAAAGAGAGAGAAAAGAAAUCAACAAAUAUGGCGACCCUAGUAGUUCCUCUUCAGAGAACCCAAGAGCAUUUCUCCUUGUUCCCCACGCAGAGUCUGCUUGUUCAGACAGAGCCAAAGAGACCUUUUUAAAAACCAUUCCCAAUUCUGGGAAGGCGCAAUCCUAGGAGGAGCAGGUGUAGGCAAGGGGGGGCCUUCGGAGAUCAGGGAAGCCACAGUCACUCCCCAUGCAGAGGGAGCCAGCACCUAGUCACGGAAACCACGUCUGCACAGCUGCUCCCAGUGGGUGACCUAGCUCUGAUCAGGCUGCAGUGAAAGGUUUAGGUCUGGAAGAUCUCAGGGGUUCCCAGCUCAUCACUUUCCUCCCCCCAAACAAUGGCAGGAAUCUUGAUGGUGUCCUGGAUGCUGAGGAGCAGGUCACAUUCAUCCAAGCAUUCUCUGGGACUAUCACUGAAGAAGAGAUUGCAGAGCUCAUGGCGGAUGGUGACCUAGACCUUGAUGGUUUGAUUGACUUUGAUGGUGAGCGGCUCAGCCCCGCCUGACCUUCUUGGGAGCUGGAGGGGGGAUGUCAGGACAGCUCUGUGCCCCUUCUGCCAGCCCCUCAAGCCCCUCUAGCCCCACAGGCUCCCUGUGCCACUCAGCAGGGACCACGAGACUUGCAGCCUCCUGACUUCCGGGGAAGGGAAGAUGGCAGGCUGGUCCUCUUUCGUCGGCUGUCUGCCAAAUGAAAUAGCAAGUGGCAUUUGAUGACAGCUAGCCUCUAGUCUGUGGGAAGAAUAGUUUACAAUCCAAAAGGGUUUCUGCACCUGUCAGCAAAAAUCCACAUUUGGAUAGUCAGCUGCUUUCUGGUUUUAAGGAGAAAAGAAGGAAAGUUGAUGUUUAAAGGGCGGGAUUUGGAACAAAAAGCUUGGUUUAUGGUUUGUGAUAAGAAAGAUUUAAACGGACAAGGGAGUUCUAUGUGUUAGGAAUUAGUGGGUUAAUUUUCAUCUCUUUUUGAUGAAAGUGCUCUCUAGAAAGCAAAACUAACAUUUCAAACUGAAAUUUCCUCCCUGGGAAAAGGAGUUGUUUACUUUAAAUGAAAACAGGGGGCAAGAAGAAAAGGGGAACCGUGGGGUGUCAGGGCUCCCUGGCCCAAUCCUGCUUACAGACUGACCCUUCUUCCAUCUUCCCCUACAGAGUUCAAGAUGUUAAUUGAGGGUUAGUUGUAGAGGGACCCAAGAAAUUCCUGCUAAGCUGGGGGCCACUGCCAGCAACCAAACCAGCCCUCUCCUGCCUCUGCUCCAGCUGCCAAGCCUUGCCUUGCCUUGCCUCGCCUUGAGUUUUGUGGAUAAUCAUCGACC